rnacentral:rRNA from 1 species
CCAUAUGCCGAGAGGUGAAACGAAUUUCGCCUGAGGAUGAGCCCGCGUCUGAUUAGCUAGUUGGUGGGGUAAGAGCCCACCAAGGCGACGAUCAGUAGCUGGUCUGAGAGGAUGAUCAGCCACACUGGGACUGAGACACGGCCCAGACUCCUACGGGAGGCAGCAGUGGGGAAUUUUCCGCAAUGGGCGAAAGCCUGACGGAGCAGCGCCGCGUGAGGGAUGAAGGCCUCUGGGCUGUAAACCUCUUUUCUCAAGGAAGAAGACAUGACGGUACUUGAGGAAUAAGCCACGGCUAAUUCCGUGCCAGCAGCCGCGGUAAUACGGGAGUGGCAAGCGUUAUCCGGAACUAUUGGGCGUAAAGCGUCCGCAGGCGGCUCUGUAAGUCUGUUGUUAAAGCGUGGAGCUCAACUCCAUUUCAGCAAUGGAAACUACAGGGCUUGAGUGUGGUAGGGGCAGAGGGAAUUCCCGGUGUAGCGGUGAAAUGCGUAGAUAUCGGGAAGAACACCAGUGGCGAAGGCGCUCUGCUGGGCCAUAACUGACGCUCAUGGACGAAAGCCAGGGGAGCGAAAGGGAUUAGAUACCCCUGUAGUCCUGGCCGUAAACGAUGAACACUAGGUGUCGGGGGAAUCGACCCCCUCGGUGUCGUAGCCAACGCGUUAAGUGUUCCGCCUGGGGAGUACGCACGCAAGUGUGAAACUCAAAGGAAUUGACGGGGGCCCGCACAAGCGGUGGAGUAUGUGGUUUAAUUCGAUGCAACGCGAAGAACCUUACCAGGGUUUGACAUCCUGCGAAUCCCUUGGAAACUUGGGAGUGCCUUCGGGAGCGCAGAGACAGGUGGUGCAUGGCUGUCGUCAGCUCGUGUCGUGAGAUGUUGGGUUAAGUCCCGCAACGAGCGCAACCCACGUCUUUAGUUGCCAGCAUUCAGUUGGGCACUCUAGAGAGACCGCCGGUGAUAAACCGGAGGAAGGUGUGGAUGACGUCAAGUCAUCAUGCCCCUUACAUCCUGGGCUACACACGUACUACAAUGCUACGGACAGAGGGCAGCAAGCUCGCGAGAGUUAGCAAAUCCCAUAAACCGUGGCUCAGUUCAGAUCGUAGGCUGCAACUCGCCUACGUGAAGGAGGAAUCGCUAGUAAUCGCAGGUCAGCAUACUGCGGUGAAUACGUUCCCGGGCCUUGUACACACCGCCCGUCACACCAUGGAAGUUGGCCAUGCCCGAAGUCGUUACUCCAACCCUUGUGGAGGAGGACGCCGAAGGUGGGGCUGAUGACUGGGGUGAAGUCGUAACAAGGUA